rnacentral:rRNA from 1 species
CAGCAGCCGCGGUAAUACGAAGGGGGCUAGCGUUGUUCGGAAUUACUGGGCGUAAAGCGCACGUAGGCGGCAUUCCAAGUUGGAGGUGAAAUCCCCGGGCUUAACCUGGGAACUGCCUCCAAAACUGGGAAGCUCGAGUCCGAGAGAGGUGAGUGGAAUUUCCAGUGUAGAGGUGAAAUUCGUAGAUGUUGGAAAGAACACCAGUGGCGAAGGCGGCUCACUGGCUCGGUACUGACGCUGAGGAGCGACAGCGUGGGGAGCAAACAGGAUUAGAUACCCUGGUAGUCCACGCCGUAAACUAUGGGUGCUAGUUGUCGGGCAGCUUGCUGUUCGGUGACGCAGCUAACGCAUUAAGCACCCCGCCUGGGGAGUACGGUCGCAAGAUUAAAACUCAAAGGAAUUGACGG